GCUCAUCCUUGCCUGCACUAGGAAUUGCUCAGACUUGAGAACUCUCACCAAGCUGGUAAGCAAGACCCAUACUCAUCACUCCCUUGACUGGAUGGCUUUUCUUACUUAUUAAGCAUUGCAUUUCUUUCCUGUAAACUGCAUGUUUGGGCAACUUCCUACUGGAUGGCUGUGUCCUACAGGGUUCUGCUUGCUCCUUGCAAAGAAAUUAGCCCUUUGUCAUAUGUGUUACAAAUACCUCUUCUGUAUAACCCUUUCUCUUUGGCUCUGUUUAUGGUAAUGUUUUUGCAAUGCUUUCUUAUAAAGAUAAUGUUCAAGUUGCAUCUUGAAGGAUGAAUCAUCACAGUAAUUACUGGCACCUAUGUGUGCUUCAGACAUGCUGAACUUGCUUCUGAGAGGUGAACGAGAUAUUAACUCAUUUACUUCCACCCCCCAAAGAUCAUUUACUUUUCCCUGAAACCCCAGGGGGUAAACCUACAACCUCCUCUAUUUUAAGAGAAGAAACAAGCAGGUGGUCGGGUCAGAGAAGUAACUUGUCAGGACCUCGCAGCUGGUGAAAGCAGAGACAGGAAUCAAAACCACAAGAAGCCAUUUGCCAGGCAGUCUGGGCACAGUAGCAGAGACUUGGAGGGGCCCGCCUGAGGCUGGGCUGACACUGGAGAGAAAGGGCAAAGGAAGCUGGUGAACACAGGGCGAGGGGUUCUCACUUGAUUAGAGGGGCCUCCACAUUGAGUUUUCAUGAACUCAGGGUCCAUGUCUAGACCUUCUUCACAGCCUGAAGAAAAUGUCCAGGGAGCUGGAAGGAAAUGGAAACACACAUCAUUGUGCCUGAAUACACACGAAUGCUGUAAGGCCCGUGUCUUAGUUAGGGUUUUAUUGCUGUGAACAGACACCAUGACCGAGGCAACUCUUGUAAGGGACAACAUUUAAUCAUCAAGAUGGGAGCAUCGCAGCUUCCAGGUAGGCAUGGUGUAGGAGGAGCUGAGAGGUCUACAUCUUGUUCCAAAGGAAAACAGGGAGAAGACUGGCUCAUAAGCAGUCAGAAGGAGAGUCUCAAAGCCCACCUGCACAGUGACACAGUUCCUCCAAUAAGGCCACACCUACUCCAACUAGGCCAUAUUCCUAAUAGCUGCAUUCCCUAGGCCAAGCAUAUUCAAGCCACCACAGCACGUUACCAGGCUAAGUCAGUGACUCAAUAAUCUUUCCCAGGAUCACUGACAUGGCUCCUGGUAUUCCCAGCCAUGGGGUGGGGAAGCCUUAUAUACAUACUCCACCUUGCACAGAUGGCCUCUGCUUUAAGGGGCUCUGGCAGCAAAUGUUUCUCUCGGUGGCUAUGUUACCACACACAGGUGCAUUUUGGGAUGUCUUUUGGGGACAGCCUUGGACAAGGUACCAUUCUCCAAGAGAACACCUCCAAGAAGAUAGAUCUACAGCCCGACAGUCAUGUACUGCCUUCAAAGACAGAGAAAAAUGAUGGCAGAUUAUGUGUGCCUCUGUCAUUAAUAUCUUAGAGCCUACUUGUAAUCUCAGCACUUGGGAGGUACAGGCAAGAGGAUCAGGAGUUUGUCAUCCUCUGUUGUGUAUCAAGUUCAAAGCCAGCCUGCCCUAUAUGAGAUCCUGCUCUAAAAACUUUUUAAAAAUUAAAAAACUACAGUGUCUUUCCAACUUAGAGGUGGUAUUAAGUCCUGUGUGAUGGACAGAAGAUUCUGCCUUGACAAAAUGUCAUGUUGCUUACUAAUAGUGCCCUGCUCCGCUACCUCUUGAUGGUGUCCGCCAGCUUUGCUGAUGCUUCUCAUGACUGAGAUGGGAACUGUAGGAACUCUGGCUUCUGAAGCAAUGUGCUGAGUGAGGAAGAGUCCAUGAUGCAGAGCCUAGUAACUCAGUAUCACCCAUCAGGGAUGCCAAGACGGUAGCAGCACCCAACCCAGUCCCCAUUCUGUGCCCCGGCAGGUACGGCUAACCAAUCAUGUCAUUUUGCCUUCUGAACCAGACUGUGACUCUUUGUAUCUCUCACCUCAGUCUAACGGCUCAAAGCAGCAAUGCUGGGGUCAGACAAACCUGAGUUUAGGUCCUGAGAAUCAUAGACUUAGCAUCUCUAAGCUCUGUUUUUCUUCCCAUUAAUCAGUCCCCAAAACUGUGGCAGGGUAAAAUGGGCAGCUUGUCACAAAAACGCCCUGAUAAGUGUAAAUCCCAGUUUGAUUCAUACUGGGAAAAUUGCAUGUGUAGCUAAGCUUAGAUCAGUCUGAAGUCAGCCCCUCCUUUAGAAGAGCGAGGCUGUCUCCCUACGUUUUACAUUUACUCACUGAUUUACUUCUAAUUGCCAUUUGGAUAGGUAGGUAGGGCAGGUCCUGUUCUAGACUCUGGAGCAAAGGUCCUUUCUUCUACUUGAAGAGCUUCCAUUAUGGUGAGAAGAUAGACAGUCAACUGUCAAGCUCUUACUAUCAUGUACAAAUCAUGUAGUGCUGAUAAAUGGAGGUGCUGUGAAGAUUCCAGUCUCCUAACACUGAGAGAUGGAGAUGACAAGCCCUCUGGUACACCAUGGAUCUGUUCUCUCUCAUGCAAUUCACCUUCUUACCCAUGCAAUCAUAUACACAAUCAUUCAACACUGCGACAAUAAAAUGAUUCUCAAGGGGUCAAUCCCUGUCAAAGGGAAGUUAAAUCAGGAAAACCUUUGAUCCUUAGAGAAGCUCUUCUUUAUAAUCAAGUUGAGGAUUAGCCAUAUCCACAACAGUAAGACCUAUAUUUACAGACUCUGGGAUCCCCAUUGAUAAGAAUUUCCUCUGGAUACUGAUAAGAACUUACUGUGAUGUGUGCACAAGAAGUUCUUUGGAGAGUUUUGUAGUGGGGUGAGAAGAUAAGUUAUCCGUCUAUAUGGAAGUGGCUGACAAAUUGUGAUCUACUCAAACGAGGGGAUUUAUGAAACCAGAUGCUAUAAAAAGUAAAGGAUAGAUGUAUGUAAACUACAGGAACACGUGGAAACAACACUCCCACUCAGAUGGGCUCUGGGUCCCCUACGGCACAGCAGCAUUGCUGUCCCAUAGAGUCCUUGGGAUGUUUUGUCCAUUUUUUUUAAAAGACAGAAUCUCUGUAACCCAGGGUGACCUUGAACACCUGAUUCUACUGUCUGUAUGUUCCAAGUGCUGGGAUUAUAGGCAUGUGUCACCAUGACAUCAGAUUCUUGAGGUUAUUUUGCUAUAUUAAAAAUACUUACAGAUAAUAGAUAUGAAAGUGUAUUAUGCAUUUCUCCAAAGUUGGUUUUGGGUGUGUGAAGGAUAAUAGAAGGAAUUUUUGCACUCCAUUUUGUUCCCUUUUCAAUGUGUUAUUGAAUCGAAUGCUUGUACUCUCCGUACAUUUAAAAAUAUUAUGUGGGACCUG
rnacentral:lncRNA from 1 species